rnacentral:rRNA from 1 species
AACGAACGCUGGCGGCGUGUUUAAGACAUGCAAGUCGCACGGGAUCACUUGAGUAGUAAUACAAGAGUGGUCUAGUGGCGCACGGGUGAGUAACAUGUGAAUUACAUGCCCUAUAGAGGGGAAUAGCCCAGGGAAACUUGGAUUAAUACCCCAUAGUCUCGCAAGAGUAAAGGUGGCCAGUAAUGGCUGUCGCUAUAGGAUUGGUUCGCACCCUAUCAGCUUGUUGGUGAGGUAAUGGCUCACCAAGGCUACGACGGGUACCUGGUCUGAGAGGACGAUCAGGCACACUGGAACUGAGACACGGUCCAGACACCUACGGGAGGCAG